rnacentral:rRNA from 1 species
GACGAACCGUCCAAACGUUAUUCGGAAUCACUGGGCUUACAGAGUUCGUAGGCGGUCUGGAAAGUUGGGUGUGAAAUCCCUCGGCUCAACCGAGGAACUGCGCUUGAAACUACCAGACUCGAGGGAGAUAGAGGAAAGCGGAACUGAUGGUGGAGCGGUGAAAUGCGUUGAUAUCAUCAGGAACACCGGUGGCGAAGGCGGCUUUCUGGGUCUUACCUGACGCUGAGGAGCGAAAGCCAGGGGAGCAAACGGG